AUUGAACGCUGGCGGCAGGCCUAACACAUGCAAGUCGAACGAGUGGCGGACGGGUGAGUAAUGUCUGGGAAACCGCCUGGUGGAGGGGGAUAACCACGGGAAACGGUAGCUAAUCCCGCAUACCAUCAGAUGUGCCCAGAUGGGAUUGGCUUGUUGGUGGGGUAACGGCUCACCAAGGCGACGCUCCCUAGCUGGUCUGAGAGGAUGACCAGCCACACUGGAACUGAGACACAGUCCAGACUCCUACGGGAGGCAGCAUUGGGGAAUAUGGCACAAUGGGCAAAAGCCUGAGGCAGCCAUGCCGCGUGUAUGAAUAAGGCCUUCGGGUUGUAAAGUACUUUAAGCGGGGAGGCGUUACCCGCAGAAGAAGCACCGGCUAACUCCGUGCCAGCAGCCGCGGUAAUUC
rnacentral:rRNA from 1 species